AAAGGGGCGACCCCCAUUGUUCCAAAACCCUAACAUCACAAUUUCUUGCAAAUUGAGGGCUCAAAUCCUAACCAAAACGAAAUCCGAGCUUAGAAUCGUGUUCCUCAUCGCAAGAGGAUUAAGAGGCAAGGAGUCCGGUUCAUCUAGCGGACAAGCCGGGGGGAGUUCACGAGGAAAAGACGUGCUCUAAAAGCUUUCAGGUACCCAAGUGAAGGAUGAAGAUCAAGCUUGUCAACUCGAACCGAACACUCUAGCAAACGCUUCCGCAUAUAACUUUCUGUUUUUAAAACCAUGUAAACAAUUGUAGUUAAUGACUUGGUUAUGAUUUUUGUAAAAAAUUGUACAUGUUUGUGGUGCCUAGAUGGAUUAAAAUGAUGAAAGUUUUUGUUAUGUCAAUAUUUUGACAUCUAAUGCAAGGUUUUUAUGUAUAUA